rnacentral:rRNA from 1 species
UACGUAGGGUCCGAGCGUUGUCCGGAAUUACUGGGCGUAAAGAGCUCGUAGGUGGUUUGUCGCGUUGUUCGUGAAAACUCACAGCUCAACUGUGGGCGUGCGGGCGAUACGGGCAGACUAGAGUACUGCAGGGGAGACUGGAAUUCCUGGUGUAGCGGUGAAAUGCGCAGAUAUCAGGAAGAACACCCGUGGCGAAAGCGGCUCUCUGGAACGGUACUGACGCUGAGACGCGAAAGCGUGGGGAGCGAACAGG